UACGUAGGGGGCAAGCGUUGUCCGGAAUCAUUGGGCGUAAAGAGCGCGUAGGCGGCCCGAUAAGUCCGCUGUGAAAGUCAAGGGCUCAACCCUUGAAUGCCGGUGGAUACUGUCGGGCUAGAGUCCGGAAGAGGCGAGUGGAAUUCCUGGUGUAGCGGUGAAAUGCGCAGAUAUCAGGAGGAACACCAAUGGCGAAGGCAGCUCACUGGGACGGUAUUGACGCUGAGACGCGAAAGCGUGGGGAGCAAACAGG
rnacentral:rRNA from 1 species